AAAAAAAAAAAGAAGAAGAAGAAGAAGGAGCGAGGAGAGAGACGCGGAGCUGGGCGACUCGGAACCAGCUUAAUUUCCUCGCGACCGCCGAAUUGUCUCGAUUGUCGUCCCCGUCAGACCAGCCAACUGGCGGCCGGCCGCGUGCGAGGGAGCCUUUAUGACGACACCCAGAAGGAGGAGCGAGGCGGGGCGAGCGGACAUCCCGAACCGACACCGGGCCGGGAUGGGAUGGGAUGGGGACGCUCCGAGCACGCCGAGCAAGCCGGACCUGAGGGCCUCUGCAGUGAAUGAUGUGCUCCCCAUUUUAAGACCAAACAAAUGAAAAUACUCUAUCAGACAAACAGAAAAAUAACACAAAAGGCAUUUUCAGGGGGAAAAAAAAACCAUCUAUUGAAAUAUUUAUUCAUGACCAAAAAAAUCUAUUCGGUAACCUAAAACAAACCCUCCCUUUGUUAAAUCAUGAAUUAAAUAUGGAUAGGCAGCACAGUGGGAAAGCGUUGACCUCACAGUUCUGAGGUCUCGGGUUCGAUCCCGGCCCCGCCUGUGUGGAGUUUGCGUGCUCUCCCCGUGCCUGCGUGGCUUUUCUCCGGGUGGGCACUCCGGUUUUCCUCCCACAUUCCAAAAAUGCAACAUUAAUUGGACAUCCUAAAUUGCCCCUAGGUGUGAUCGUGAGUGCGGGUGUUUGUCUCGAUGUGCCCUGCGAUUGGCCGGCGACCAGUUCAGGGUUUACCCCGCCUCCUGCCCGUUGACAGCUGGAAUAAGCUCCAGCACUCCCUGCGACUUGUGAGGAUAUGCGGCAAAGAAAAUGGAUGGAUGGAUACAUAAUUAUGGAUAACUAUGUUUAUCAACUACAAAAUCAAGUUAGCCAAAAGCUUCAACGAGCCCUAGAAAGUCAAGAACAGAUGAGAAAUAAAGUCUUGAACAUUAACGAAAAGCAAUUUCUAAAGCUUGAGGGCUCCACUGAACUAUGGAGAAAAUAUGGAGCAGCCUACAAAAAUCGCCCGAAAAUCUUUUUGGGCCAUCAGUUGGUAACCUCAAGCUGAGGGUUCUUCACCGGGACAACGACCCAAAACACAAUUUAAGUUAACUUCAUGUUUUGUUUUGUUUUUUUAAGGGAUGGUUUUGACAUGGCCUAGUCAAAGUCUGGACUUGAAAUGUUGUGUCGUGUCUUGAGUUUGUCCAAGGAAGAGUGAAGCAAACACACAUGGGGAAAAUUCUCCUUGCCGGUGCCACGACAACAAAAUGCUGGUCCAGGGUGGCCAAACCAGUUCUGAAAAGUUUCAGAAGUUUGGGAAACACAUCAGCACUAAAAAAAAAAAUGUCGUCACUUUCAAUCUGAGUAGAAAUGGUGACUGUUUCUCUCUUUAGGAUAUUUAGUAGGUACAUACCAAACCGAUUAUGUAUUUUUUUUCAUGUUCACAUUUACAAAUUGAUAUACUUCUGUUUUUGUGUUGAUAAAUAUUCCAGUGUUAAGAUGGUUUAUUUUGAAGUUAUUUCAUGCAAAUCUUUUUGACAUAACUGAUUGGGUUAUCAAUAAAUGCAUUUAAUAAAAAGAAUGAUAACAUACACUUGCUCAUUUUAACAAAAAAUAAUUUAUCAAAUUUAAUUAUAAUAAAUGAACUUGUCACACUAGGGUUUAGCAUUUAAAAUGAAUAUAUCCCAAUUCCUGUACUGUACACAUGCAUUGUUAUAUGGAUUCAAUAGCGACCACUCCAAAAUGCAUUUUUAAAAUUAUUUUUUUUAUAUCAGAGCCAAAUUCAAGCUUUACAACAAUUAGUAGCAGUGUCAAUUUAUUAUUUAUUGAAACUUCCACACAGAAUGUAUAAUUGAGUUUGUACGUAGAAAAAGCAAUCUGAAUAAUUUUUUUAACAAAUUUUUAUUUCAAAGAACCAAAAUUCAAAGUCGCUCCAGAUUUAACAUUUACAUUAGCAAAGAGAUUAACAAACACAUGGAAACGUCCUCACACAUUAGCUGAUAUUUCGAGUUAUUUUUGAGAGAAUCAAGUAAAAUUAGGAAAGGACACCGAUGUGAAAAUUAUUGACUCUGCUCUGUUGAUAUGUAAUGAUUAACACCAAAACAAUAAAUCUGUCUCUAACUUAAUAUUUUCAUAAAAAUACGUUUCUCACAAAAUGACACAUUUUCCCUCCUUAAUACGGAAAAAAGAAGCUGACUCCACAUCAAUAUGUAUCGACUCCCAAAAUGUUUUCAAGACAAUCAAUAGCAAGCCGACUCGACAGGUGGCGCUGUCACGCCCGGAGCGAAGCAAACAAUAUCGACUAUUAUUGCACGAUGGCAUUCAGAUGAGUGCAAAUGACUCGCAAAAAUGUUUGUCAGUUCAAAUGUUAGCGUUCAAGAGAUGCGGGAAGAUGUGAUUGUACAAUUUUUGAUUUGGGACAGGCGAGGGAACCGCUUUUAAUGUUGCGCAGAAAAAAAAAAAUGCCCCAAAUAAAAUAAAACAGUUCCA